rnacentral:lncRNA from 1 species
CUGGAACUUUGCCUACGGUUGGGAUUUUCAUACCAUAGAAACUGGCAGAUACUAAUUUUUUUCUAAAGAUCUGUAGUUAAAAAUUUGCCUGAUUUAAAGGUUGUGAGAAGGGGACGACCCAGGAUGAGAUGGCUGGAUGGCAUCAUGGACUCGAUGGAUGGGAUCUUCCCGACCCAGGGAUGGAACCCCAGCCUCCAGGAAACGUCACAGCUGUCCGGUGACUCCUGCUCAGGGAAGCCUUCUCUGUGCCACUAGAGACGUGCUAUGGUGACACUUUGUUUGGGACGGAUAACUCAUCAGAACAUGGUCAGCAUCAACAAUGGGAUUUUGAAAAAAGUUGCAAUGAUAUGACUCUCAUUAUCAGAAUUUUUAUAUCAAAAAUUCAAUUAAAU